UACGUAGGGUGCGAGCGUUAAUCGGAAUUACUGGGCGUAAAGCGUGCGCAGGCGGCUUUGCAAGACAGAUGUGAAAUCCCCGGGCUCAACCUGGGAACUGCAUUUGUGACUGCAAGGCUAGAGUACGGCAGAGGGGGAUGGAAUUCCGCGUGUAGCAGUGAAAUGCGUAGAUAUGCGGAGGAACACCAAUGGCGAAGGCAAUCCCCUGGGCCUGUACUGACGCUCAUGCACGAGAGCGUGGGGAGCAAACAGG
rnacentral:rRNA from 1 species